UCUGAGGAAUGACGACAAUAAAAGGCCAAAUGACAGUGUUUCCAUUCACAUUUUGCCCUCUUUGUGGGCAAAGACAAAAAUCUGAAAUGAACCACUGAUUAGCAUCAGG